GAUAAACGCUAGCGGCAGGCUUAACACAUGCAAGUCGAGGGGCAGCAUAGAUUGUAGCAAUACAAUUGGUGGCGACCGGCGCACGGGUGCGUAACGCGUAUGCAACCUACCCGUCACAGGGGGAUAAUCCGGAGAAAUCUGGUCUAAUACCCCAUAACAUAUGGAUCGGCAUCGGUUCAUGUUGAAAUUUUCGGAGGUGACGGAUGGGCAUGCGUAGCAUUAGCUUGUUGGUGAGGUAACGGCUCACCAAGGCGACGAUGCUUAGGGGGACUGAGAGGUUUUCCCCCACCACUGGUACUGAGACACGGACCAGACUCCUACGGGAGGCAGCAGUGAGGAAUAUUGGUCAAUGGGCGCAAGCCUGAACCAGCCAUGCCGCGUGCAGGAUGACGGCUCUAUGAGUUGUAAACUGCUUUUGUACGAGGGUAAAGUGGGUUACGUGUAACCUUUUGAAAGUAUCGUACGAAUAAGGAUCGGCUAACUCCGUGCCAGCAGCCGCCGUAA
rnacentral:rRNA from 1 species